rnacentral:rRNA from 1 species
GUGAACGCUGGCGGUAGGCCUAACACAUGCAAGUCGAACGGCAGCACAGUAAGAGCUUGCUCUUACGGGUGGCGAGUGGCGGACGGGUGAGGAAUACAUCGGAAUCUACCUUUUCGUGGGGGAUAACGUAGGGAAACUUACGCUAAUACCGCAUACGACCUACGGGUGAAAGCAGGGGAUCUUCGGACCUUGCGCGAUUGAAUGAGCCGAUGUCGGAUUAGCUAGUUGGCGGGGUAAAGGCCCACCAAGGCGACGAUCCGUAGCUGGUCUGAGAGGAUGAUCAGCCACACUGGAACUGAGACACGGUCCAGACUCCUACGGGAGGCAGCAGUGGGGAAUAUUGGACAAUGGGCGCAAGCCUGAUCCAGCCAUACCGCGUGGGUGAAGAAGGCCUUCGGGUUGCAAAGCCCUUUUGUUGGGAAAGAAAAGCAGCAGGUUAAUACCCCGCUGUUCUGACGGUACCCAAAGAAUAAGCACCGGCUAACUUCGUG